rnacentral:misc_RNA from 1 species
CUGUUUCCAGCUUGAAAUUAUGCCGACAUGGCUCCUAACAAAUGGGGUUUGUCUCUGCUUCUGUUUCUGUAAGACUUGAAGCUGCUUCUUCUCUGCUACUGUUACGUGAACUCUGCAUCUUCAAUCUUCAACUAUUUCUUUCAGUUUUCUCUUUUAUCUGAAUCUUUUAGUUCCUGUUGGUGUUCUUUCUAGGCAAGGAUUUAAUUUGAACUAUCAAGAUAUAGCCUAUAAAAUCCAUUG